UGGGAUUUGGGGGAAAAUAAUGGGAUUUGGGGGGAAACAGUGGGAUUUGGGGUCACAAACAGUGGGAUUUGGGGGGAAACAGUGGGAUUUGGGGGCAAACAGUGCGAUUUGGGGUCACAAACAGUGGGAUUUGGGGGAAAAUAAUGGGAUUUGGGGGAAAAGAGUGGGAUUUGGGGGGAAAACAGUGGGAUUUAGGGUCAAAAACAGUGGGAUUUGGGGUCAAAAACAGUGGGAUUUGGGGUGAAAAAGGGCCAUUUGGGGGAAAAGAGUGGGAUUUGGGGGAAAAGAGUGGGAUUUGGGGGUCAAACAGUGGGAUUUGGGGUGAAAAAGGGGCAUUUGGGGGAAAAGAGUGGGAUUUGGGGGAAUACAGUGGGAUUUGGGGGUCAAACAGUGGGAUCGGGGCUCUCAUGUGGGGAUCCGGGCUCAGAUAUGGGGUUUUGGGGUUCAGAUAUGGGGUUUUGGGGGAUCAGAUCAGGGUUUUGGGGUUCAGACAGGGGGUCUUGGGGUUCAGAUAUGGGGUAUUGGGCUUCAGAUAUGGGGUUUGGGGUUCAGAUAUGGGGUUCAGAUAUGGGGUUUGGGGGCUCAGAUCUGGGUUUUGGGGUUCAGAUAUGGGAUAUGGGGUUCAGAUAUGGGGUUUUGGGGCUCAGAUACGCGGCUCUAGGUUCAGAUAUGGGGUUUUGGGGUUCAGAUAUGGGGUUUCUGGGAUCAGAUCUGGGUUUUGGGGUUCAGAUAUGGGGUUUCUGGGAUCGGAUAUCGGUUUUGGGGUUCAGAUAUGGGGUUUGGGGGCUCAGAUAUGGGGUUUCUGGGAUCAGAUCUGGGUUUUGGGGUUCAGAUAUGGGGUUUCUGGGAUCAGAUCUGUGUUUUGGGGUUCAGAUAUGGGGUCUCUGGGAUCGGAUAUCGGUUUUGGGGUUCAGAUAUGGGGUCUCUGGGAUCGGAUAUCGGUUUUGGGGUUCAGAUAUGGGGUCUUGGGGUUCAGGUAUGGGUUUUGGGGUUCAGAUACGGGGCUCUAGGUUCAGAUCUGGGGUUUGGGGUUCAGAUAUGGGGUUUGGGGGCUCAGAUAUGGGGUUUCUGGGAUCAGAUCUGGGUUUUGGGGUUCAGACAUGGGGUCUUGGGGUUCAGGUAUGGGUUUUGGGGUUCAGAUACGGGGCUCUAGGUUCAGACCUGGGGUUUGGGGUUCAG
ensembl:lncRNA